CUUGGCCAAGGCAACAGCCGAUAGCCCUUCCAACAUUUGUGGAAAUUUCUGACAAAACGGGCCAGAAUUCGCGGGAGGCGAUACUUCGAAUGACCAACAAAAAGGUUGAGUUCUACGACAAGGCUGACAUCCUCUCAAAGCAAGCAUGCAACCAGAAGGAUCCACCCCUGAAUUUUGAUAUGCAAAUGGGCCAAAACUGCAGCGACCUGGAACGCAGGGGUCUGUCUCUGUCAUCUCAGGCCUCUGUCAUCUCCCCAGAAAAGCCUCGUCGGUGAAGGUGAGGCGCUUCCCAGGUGCAUGUUUUUCAGUUUCAGUUCAUUUGCAUAUGAAAAUUCGGGGCUGGAUAUCUUAAUGCAGGUGCGUGUUGCAGUAUUUUUUAAAUGUGGAAUGGCUUUCAACUAGGAUAGCCUCUCAAUCUGCUAUCCCGCUUUUGCUCGAUAUCCCCUAAUUAGAGAGUUAAUUAAUGAAGUUUAGGUAAUUAGUCAUCUUGUAGCUGUAUACUUUCUUCGAGAUGUCAACCUGGCUGUAGAAUUCAACUGCAAAAAUGACAUCUAUGCUGCUCUCAUGGCUCUUUAAUAAAACAUCUGUAACGGAUAAAAAAACACCCGUAUAUGUGCAAGUAAGGGUAAUGCGACAUGGGCAAAAGUUCAAAAUUAGAUUAGUAACAUAUUGCAAUUUAUUGGCAUUGUUAGUUAUAAAUACAAUGGGCAUUGUAUAACUAACAACCUCCUUAAACUGCAAUUCUAAUAGUAUUCCAAUUUAUGUUUAACUUACACCCAAGUCUCGUUUACCUUAAUUGUGUAUUACUUAGUGAUCAUCCGUGGGAACUUUUAGAUCACACAUACAACUUUCGAGAAUAUGCAUGAGUAAACACAAGUCUAGGCUAACUUCAGAGAGGAUCUCAACGAAACCGGAGCAAUGACCGAUCCACGAACCACAAGCACUUCUCCAAGCCUGGAAGGGAUACGGCAGCUCAAGGUCACGUACACUGAGUCCGCCAAUAGCCACUGUGGUAGUAUACUCUGAAACUUGUUUUUCUAGUGCUCUAGCGAGAGUCCACCAGUUGCAACACACUGCAGUAGUUUCAGUAUCACUGCAUGCAGGUCACAUGACUGCCCACAGUGAAUGAGCUCAGCUGUAUGACGAUUUUGAAUGGGGGGGAGAAGCUUAAGUCACGCAGGAAAUACCUGGCUGGCAGCCAGAUAGCCACACAGACAGUCAUACUUUGGGCACGUUACGUGAACGAACUCUCUCAUAAAUGUCAACCACAGGGUCGCAACACUCCCGAAUUGGCAUGAAACAGAAAACAAGUUACUACAAAACUGCAUUACGAGUCGCUGAUCUGUAAAAAAAUUCAGCGUCGAUUUAGAGGUAAAUGUAGGAGAAAAGUGUUAGCAUUAAACGCCUUUUCCAGUGCAUACUUGAUUCUUGGCUAUCCACUUCCGGUUCUCCAACUCCGGCCUAUACUUGAAUUCUGGUUCGACACUUUCAUUUACUAUAGGAAAGUCCAUUUAGUUAACCUUUAAUUACUGACGGUAACCGCAGGAUACCCGAGGCAAAAUUGAAUUUCAUUUAAUUCCCUUUAAUUACUCACAGUUCCCCUUUAACUGAUGUUAAUUACCUUUAGUCACAUUAAUUACCUUCGGUAACCUUUAAUUUCAUUUCAUCUUUCACUUAGAUAUUCUCGCAUUCAUUACCUUUAAACUCAACUUUCUUGCUUUAGUUAAUUACCUCUAAUUACUUUCAAUUACCCUUGCCUCUCACUGUUGAUUACCUUGGACUACUUCAAAUCAUAUACCCCCAUUUACAUUUACCCUUUUUUAUCCCCUUUCCAUGUCCAUUUAUACCUCUGCCUCGGUGAGGCUUCACCAUCUCACACACGGACGGACGGACGGACACACACACGCAUGCAAAUACAUACAGCUUUCUCCAUUUUGACACUCCUGACUUUAACACAUGCAGCAUUAAAAUGUUCAUAACAUCUAAAGUGCAUAUUUAAAGGUGAUGGUUUUGAUACCAGAAUUGCAGAAGUACAAAAAUGGUUGAUGACUCUUUAUAGUAGGUACUGUAGAGACCGUCUUAUGGCUUCUUGAUGGAUAAUGAAGACGAGGCAAAUGCAAGCUUUGCAUCUACUGAAACGUGACAAUGUGUGGCACAAACACAAAAAAUCAAUGCACAUUCUUCAUUCAUUCACUCGGGGUUUUCCUCAUCUGCCAAAUUCCGCAAACUGUGCUAGCCUUCGAGAAUGUUCUUCACUCAGUGUCACACUCCUGGAAACAUAGCAAAACGAUACGAUUAGCGACUACGAGAGAGAGGGGAAAAAAAUUAUAAAUCACCUCAGAUGUUUUCCAAAUGUCGUGACAAUCUGAUAGAUUCCAGAGAUAACUGCAGAUCCCAGUGCCUUCCUGAGUUGCACAUCUCGACUGAGGACGAUGCCAGGAGCGCGUCGAAUGCCAGACGACCCUUUGUUAUGUCUAUCCAGGACCUGAAUACCCCGGAUAAGAUGCUCGUUACUUACAGUUGCCAUUAUAACAACGAAGGCGACCUCAAAGUAGACAUAAAAAAGGAGAGAGAGAGGUCGUUAAAGGAGCAUGGAAGGCACCUCGAACAAGAAAGUACACAGCGGCAGCAACCUCCCCCAGGUCCUCCUGGGGUGUUGAGACAUCAGAUCAUACGAGUACUUUUAAUGGUUGCUGAGAGUAGUCUGCUACGACAAGGGAGCAAGGUGACAGUCGACUGCUCUGUGUCAGACACAGCACGGGAGGCACCAUAUAAGUACAAACGCAAAAAGAAAUAAAGAAAAAGAGGGUGCACUCCUCACUAUUGAUUGGCUGAAGUGGCGUUGCAGACUGGCAACUGAGGGCAGAGGUCAGCGCUCGUGACUGCCGCUCGCUCACUCCGUGCUGAGCUCUCAGCUUUCUCACUCAUGUUAACCUCUCCGCCUGCUCACUCACUCCCUGCCCAGCUCUUGGUUUUAUUCACUCAUUCCCCACAUUGAGCAUGCUCGUGAGAGAGCUUUGCUGAGGUAUGGCUGAGGGAAGCUGCUUUUCUGAGCCGCGAGACAGAGAAAGUUUUCUUGAGCACCAGAAUUGCGCACUGCAAAUUUACAGAUCUUUAGAUCUGUAAGAUCUUGGCAAUUUACAGAUCUUUAGAAAAUUUACACAUCCCUUAUAAAAUGCACAAGAGCCUCAUUACCCACAAACCGGCUGGAUGAACAGAUAAAAUACAAAAAAAAUACGAAAAACGAAUAACGAAUAAAACGAAAUACGAAAAAAUAAAAAUAACUCGCACAAGCCACGGCUAAUACGCGUGAAAUUACGAUACUUGUAAAAUUAAAUGACGUGAUGCGAUGGGUAGGUAAAAAGAAUGCGCAGAAUAGAGAGUUUCUCCUCUGUGCACACACAACUCAUGUAUGAUUAGAACAACACAUGGUCAGAUGGCUUGCUACCAGGACAGACUCUGACACAAGUACCCACUCACACUUUAGUAGCAUAUGUAUCACACAAUGGGCAAUAAACUUCCAAACUUUCUAAGCACUUCUGUACUUCAACAAGAAAGACUUACAAAGGCAUGCAUGUGCAAGACAAAAUCCUCACCUGGUCCAAUUCAAGCAGAGCAGAGAGGGUAUUGGACAGGGUGGUCUGCACCACUCCAAACUUGUCUUCCUUGUACGAUGCACGUAUGAGCAGACAAAAGCCUACAUGAAAAGCAAUUGUCACAAAGGAGCACAGGCUUUCUUCAACAAUGCAAAGGUAUAGUUGUACAUUAUAUGCGAUAUGGGAAUCAAGAGAGUUCCCACAGCAACUUCAGCAUGGAUGAAGGACUUCUCAAGGGGGUUACUGUUACUUCCACGACAAUCAUACAGUAACGUAUGGUGGCUAUGGGACUGCAAGGUCCAAAAUCCAAGAUCUUAGUAAAAUGGUAGGAGACAACAAAGACUGUCGCUUCUAUUGACGGAGUUCUGAUACUGGCCAAGUAAAGAAAGCAAUCUCAUCUAGGUAUUGUAAGUCCUCUCGCCUGGUAUGGGUGUGUCCAUGUCAGCCUGAAUCGAAAGCAUCACAGUACAUAACUGUGACGCGGGUAGGAUAUUGUGCAAGACCAUGGUGUUUUAUGUGGGGCACUGCCCAUGACUCCAGAUACAACUUCAAGGAAAACAAAGAGGGCUCUACGGACAUGGAAAACCGCAUGUUUCUCAAGGCUUGUGUACUGCAAGGUGUCGAAGUCCUGCCGAAGCAGCAAUUCUGUUUAAACACAUUUAAGAUGCAUUACAACAUCCAUCUCACCAUUACAACAAUCAAUUGUAUGAGAAAUAAAUAAAGGUGCUGAUGCUUAACAAGGUGCUCUAACAUCUGGAACAGGAAAUUCCCUACACGCACCUGCUUUUUUGCAACACCCCCCUUGAAAUUUCUGAGGUUGCACAUUACAGCUUUACUAACAAUAGAUAUACACACUCGUACACAUAUCCCCCCUUUCCCCAGAGGUCAAUUUCUGGGGAGUCAUUGUUGU